ACUCAAAGGAGUACUUGCUUCAGACCAAUACAGAGGAGAUUAGCGUGGUCCCUGCGCAAGGAUGACACGCAAAUUCGUGAAGCGUUCCAUAUUUUU
ensembl:snRNA U6 U6 spliceosomal RNA